rnacentral:rRNA from 1 species
AACGCUAGCGGCAGGCUUAAUACAUGCAAGUCGUGGGGCAGCAUGAAGUAGCAAUACUUUGAUGGCGACCGGCAAACGGGUGCGGAACACGUACACAACCUUCCUUUUAGUGGGGAAUAGCCCAGAGAAAUUUGGAUUAAUACCCCGUAACAUAGCGAUGUGGCAUCACAUUGCUAUUAUAGCUUCGGCGCUAGAUGAUGGGUGUGCGUAUGAUUAGAUAGUUGGCGAGGUAACGGCUCACCAAGUCUACGAUCAUUAGCUGAUGUGAGAGCAUGAUCAGCCACACGGGCACUGAGACACGGACCAGACUCCUACGGGAGGCAGCAGUGAGGAAUAUUGGUCAAUGGGCGAGAGCCUGAACCAGCCAAGUCGCGUGAAGGAAGAAUGUCCUAUGGAUUGUAAACUUCUUUUUUAGGGGAAUAAAGUGCGGUACGUGUACCGUUUUGUAUGUACCCUACGAAUAAGGAUCGGCUAACUCCGUG